rnacentral:misc_RNA from 1 species
GGAGGGUUUUGAUGUUGCCAAAACCGGAGACGCCCGUAUUGGAUUUGUAGGUUUCCCAUCUGUAGGAAAGUCUACUCUACUUAGUAAUCUAGCUGGAGUCUAUUCGGAAGUGGCUGCCUAUGAAUUUACCACCCUAACAACUGUUCCCGGUGUUAUACGAUACAAAGGGGCAAAAAUUCAGUUGCUUGAUCUUCCGGGUAUCAUUGAGGGAGCCAAGGACGGGAAAGGGCGUGGAAAACAGGUCAUUGCAGGUCAGUUUAAAUCUACUUUGUACUGAGAACACUGGUAACUUUCCUUGCUUAUCCAUCUUAUUUGUCUGGAAAGGGUUGCACUGGUUAGAUCGUAAACUUUGCGGUGAGGUACAUACACAUAUACUUAAUUUUACAAAAACAACAAUCUGUAAACUAUUACCUAUUGCAAUCCACUAUGUUGUGGGCCAAUGUAUUGUGAUACAUUGGCUAGUAAAUCUAUUACUAUUGUAAUGAUACUUACUCUUUGUAAAUUCAGAGUUACUGGUAUUAAAAUAGGCCUUGGAUGGAAAUGCAUGCACAGACAUGCUCAACCCCCUAACCCUUACCCCACUCUGCACCCACCCCCUGGCAAAAAUUUCUAAAAUUAUCCCUUAGACCCUCCAGAGAAAAUUUUUGUACACAUGCUGUUGUAUUGUAUGACUAUCUAUUGAUCUAUUUUUGUUUUACUACUGCACAGUUUUAUUGUAUGGCUAUUUAUUGAUCUAUUUUUGCUGUAUUACAGCUAUCUAUUGAUCUAUUUUUGCUGUAUUACAGCUAUCUAUUGAUCUAUUUUUGCUGUAUUACAGCUAUCUAUUGAUCUAUUUUUGCUGUAUUACAGCUAUCUAUUGGUCUAUUUUUGCUGUAUUACAGCUAUCUAUUGGUCUAUUUUUGCUGUAUUAGAGCUAUCUAUUGAUCUAUUUUUGCUGUAUUACAGCUAUCUAUUGGUCUAUUUUUGCUGUAUUACAGCUAUCUAUUGGUCUAUUUUUGCUGUAUUACAGCUAUCUAUUGGUCUAUUUUUGCUGUAUUACAGUUAUCUAUUGAUCUAUUUUUGCUGUAUUACAGUUAUCUAUUGAAUGAUCUAUUUUUGCAGUAUUACAGUUAUCUAUUGAUCUAUUUUUGCUGUGUUACAGUUAUCUAUUGAUCUAUUUUUGCUGUGUUACAGUUGUAUUGUAUGGCUAUCUUUUGGUCUAUUUUUGCUGUAUUACAGUUGCUCGGACAUGCUCCCUUAUCUUCAUUGUACUCGACGUCCUGAAACCUCUACAACACAAGAAGCUCAUCGAGCACGAGUUGGAAGGAUUUGGGAUCAGACUCAACCAAUCACCACCCAACAUUGGAUUCCGUCGGAAAGAAAAAGGCGGAAUAAACCUUCAAACUUUGGUUCCUCAAUCUGAGCUAGAUAUUGACUUGGUGAAGACAAUUCUUGGGGAGUACAAGAUGCACAAUGCUGACAUUGUCCUCCGCUCCGACUGUACGGCGGAGGAACUGAUCGAUGUGGUGGAGGGGAACCGUGUCUACAUCCCGUGUAUAUACAUCCUAAACAAGAUCGACCAGAUCUCUAUAGAGGAACUGGACAUUAUCUACAAAGUCCCUCACUGUGUGCCUAUCUCGGCCCAUCACAAGUGGAACUUUGACGAUUUACUGGAGAAGAUGUGGGAAUACCUGGGACUCGUCAGAAUUUACACCAAGCCCAAAGGUCAGCUGCCGGACUACACAUCACCUGUAGUGGUCAAGAUAGACAAGUGUACAGUGGAGGACUUCUGUAACAAGCUGCACAGAGCCAUCAUCAAGGAGUUCAAAUAUGGCCUAGUCUGGGGGUCCUCGGUCAAGCACCAGCCACAGAAAGUAGGGAAAGAGCACACGCUUCAUGACGAGGACGUGGUACAAGUUGUCAAGAAAGUGUGAUCGUAAGCAACCUGUGACAUAUUUAUCUGAUGUUUGAAAUUACUUCAUUACCAACCCUGAACUUAUCACGUUGACACAGUACAUUUGCAAAGAUAAAGUGAUUAAUUUUUUCUGAUUACCAAAACUGAUACCCUAUAAAGAUUAUUGUUAUGAAUGAAAAAGGGAAACUUUUGACUCAGCUAUAAAAUCAGAGGCCAGAUUGUGGAGUUAGUGGUGCAGUGUAUUUGUUUUGAUGCUGUGUCUAGGUGAUGACUAAAAAGAUAUGGAUGCCAUGUUAUUAACGGACACCAAACACUCAACAUUCUGGGAAUUUCAUGUUUGUGAACAGAACAAACCAAUCCAUGUAUUAAAACUUUAAAGCUUUUGACCUCUGUAUGCAAUUAUUCAUGAACCAUCUCUGGUGCGUUUGUCUUUCACAUUGUAUCUCUUGGCAAUUACCGGUAUACAAUUGAAUAAAGAGAAAA